GCACGACAACUUGAAGCUGCUCUUGGUCACCCUUGGUGAAAAGGGUUGCAGAUAUUACACCAAGGUAUACGCCCCACCAUUCCAACCACCCUGAUUAAUUUAAUUGUAAAUCAUCAUUCGUCAUCAUCAUAUGGAUAACAUCUGACUACCCAGCUUGAUUAUUUUGAGUGUUAAUUAAGAUAAAUAAUUGCUAGUGGCAUCACAUAAUAAUAUAGUUUUAGCAGCAGGGCAGCUGUCUACGGCCCCUUUAAGGAGAAAGUAAACAUUAGUGUUUACCUACCGAGUCACCUAACUCCAUAGAGUCUAGCUGUUUGCUGUACUUUGUAAUCAUAUUGGAGUAAGUAAUAGAUAACGACUAAUAUAUAUGUUUGUGGUGAAUGUGGGGGGUUUACAGAGUUUCCAUGGAUCAGUGGAUGCAUUCCAAGUGAAUACGGUGGAUACAACAGGUGCUGGUGAUUCUUUUGUGGGUGCUCUUCUUACCAAGAUUGUGGAUGACCAGUCCGUUCUUCAGGUACCAAAACUAACAACCAACCAUUUAUGUAUUUUGUUAAACACAAUGAGUUGGAUAUUAACAAGGAAAGUUAAGUGCCAAUGAUGAUGAAUGAUGG
rnacentral:lncRNA from 1 species